GGAACAAAUACCUGCAGCCUUCAGACGUCUGCAGAGAACUGCAACUAUCAAGAAGUAACCUUCACUUUAGCUUUCUAACUGUUGUGGAUUACAGAACUGAGAACACAUUUUGAGUCUCAGCCAUGUGGACACAGCAGAGAAACUUCUUCUAUUUGGCCAUCGUCUCAUAUCUGUUUGCAUCUUCA